AGUAACGCGUGGAUAACCUGCCUCACACUGGGGGUAACGAGUUAGAAAUGACUGCUAAUACCGCAUAAGCGCACAGUACCGCAUGGUACGGUGUGAAAAACUCCGGUGGUGUGAGAUGGAUCCGCGUCUGAUUAGCCAGUUGGCGGGGUAACGGCCCACCAAAGCGACGAUCAGCAGCCGACCUGAGAGGGUGACCGGCCACAUUGGGACUGAGACACGGCCCAA
rnacentral:rRNA from 1 species